GUUCAAUUGAGACAUCGUGUCGGUAUCAGUUUCGUUCUGCUGGGGUUAAACUAAUCAUCCUAAACCAAGUCAGUUACUAGAUACUUUGGUUCCCAUUGUUCCUUAUUUAUUGUGGAUACAUGUGUGCGUGCAAGAGCAUAGAUGGGGAACAUUCAUAUUUCCAAUGCGACAGCAAAACCCAUUAUUGCCUACUACAGCAAGGACCCGAUCGAUGACAAAGAGAAGGCAAAAGCCAAAUCUGUGAAAAUCCCUGCCAAAAGCUACAUCCAAUGUUCCUCAAAUGAGCCGAUGUUUGUCAUUGUGUAUUACGAGGAAGGCAACCAUGUCACAGACAGCGCCUAUAUUAACUCCAAUCACUCUGUUUUGUUCACUGAUGCUGGGAAAGUCUUGCAUUCAUACGCUGAAACAAUUUCAGCCGAGUGACAAGAAAGACACAGCCAGUCACCAAGCUGGGGCACACUGUGUACAUGCUGAAGAUCAGCCAGUGACCAACACCCCUCCACUUAUAUCAAAGCAAAAGUGAUGAGCAUUUGGUGGAUGGUCGUAUAAUAUCUGUAAACCUUUUGACCUCUUGUUCUGCUGCUUAAUAAACUGAAGCAAUCAUAUAAA